GCACCUUUGUUUGAACCCACAUCUUCUGCAAAGAACACCUUGAAAACAAAUCAAGAAAAAGGACUGUAAUCGCAGGCGACAACCGGAGAAGAGCGACAACAGCAAUCAUUCAACAGCGAUGCCAUCAACGGAAUGACAUGAUAGGACAAUCCUGGGAAGAGUCUCUAAGUCUGGAAAGUCUAAAGAUAUACUUUGGCACAUCAGACUCAAGCAUGCGGUCUCCUGAAGUGUGAUGUUGGAAGAACCAGAACUAAUGCUACGAACGUAGCGGGGAAUUGGUCCAGAUGCUUGGGAGACUCACUUAUUUGCAGGUUAGAGAGGCUAUUGAUGAAGGAAGGGGACAGCGUCUGCUCAAGCGCACGAUGCGGAGACACAGAAGUAACCGGGUUAUACCUGGUCGGGUGGUCAGUCCUCGGUCGGCAGCAGGGCGGGCGUCGACAGGCUCAACUGGGCACAGGAAGCAAGAAACACGGAAAGCAAACAAGACAAAUCAAGAUGAUGACAUACAGCUGAAAUGUGUGCGAUGAUGGCUUUGGGAUCAGCAAUUUCAAUGAGACCACACAGCUUACUGGUGCACACAGCCCAGCCAUUCCAAGGUGGGAUUACAAACCCAAAUUGAUUCUGAACGUCACAUGUUGGCAGAACAGCGAGGGAGAAGGAAGUGGCAGCAAGUCAAGCCUUCAAAAUAUGAAAAAAUCAGGCUGCUGAGAAUUCUGAGACAUUUGGAUGAAACAAAAAGAGCAGCGUGGGCUGGUCCUUCAUCAUGCAGACCGGCAACAUGGUGAAGGGGGAGAUGGAGGUGUCUAAACCCAACGUUCACGAUGGAA